UAGGGACCGUGCGCAAAGUGCACGCCGCAGCCCACGGCGCAGAGGCCGCGAGCGGGAGGGCGGGGCUGCGAGAGCCCCAUCGCGGGAAUCCCGAAGAGUUAAAAAGGGUUCCUCGCCCCACCUCUGAGCGGAAAGUCACCUGGGCCCCCGGCCGUUUCCUGGUUUCACCCGGAACGCAAGAUGGAUAAGCCAAGCUUGGAGCUGGAACCUCCGCCCACUAUGCUACCCUAACCUUCCGGGCCUGAGGCUCCACGUCUCUGAAAUGGGCUUAAAAACCCCCGGCUAGGCUAGAUCUGCGGGGGCUGGGACGCUGGGGUGUGAGGGCGCUGCGUGCGCAAAAGCACCGGGUUGGGCUGCGCGCGCGUUCGAGGAAAUGCGAGGAACCGUGACGACCGUACCUAGGAGCGAGGGAAAGGAGGGCCAUCCUUUAACCAACUCAGUGAAGCCCCUGCCUCGGUCUACCCAGUUCGUCUCGGGAGAGUACUGGAUUCUGAGGUCCCAUUUUGCAGGCUGGGAAACCGAGGCAUGAUGUCUCCUUAUGACAGGUCUCCUAAUUCACAAGAUACAAUUCUGGCAACUUGAAAGGCAUCCGACUCGCGCCGCAGGGUGUGCGCGCCGCCUGCCGGGCGCCAGCGGAACUGCGCCCAGGGUAAGAUUUUUCAUCAUGGAGGCGGGGCUUCAACCCAGCAGUGGAGGCCGCCAGGUGGUGCUAUCGCACCUGAAAAGACGGUUUCCCACGUUAGAUUGGGAGAAACUGAGGCCUGAAGUUCUCCUACAUAGCUUUUUUUCUGUUGAAGACAGGGUGUGAAGUCAUGAAUCACGAAGUGUAUCACGAAGUUAAAGUACAAGGAACGGACACGCAUGACCACAUCAUUUUCAGAUUGUAUUGACACUUUUGGAUCCUGGAGAUGAGUGCUCUGUCCGGGACCCGCCCAGACCCUCACUGGGGGCAUUGUAGACAGGAGGUGAGGCAGAUGUCAACAGUGGCUCCCGCCUUUAUACUCCGGCGCCUGAGGCAGAGGCGGGGGGAUUUCUGAGUUUGAGGCCAGCGUGAUCUACAGAGUGAGUUCCAGGACAGCCAGGGCUACACCUUGCUAAGAGACACCCUGCUUAGGAAGACGGACAAAUAUGGGGUCCCAUUGUGUAGCCUUGGCUGGCCUAGAACUCAGAGACAUCCGCCUACCGCAGUGUUUGUCUCUCAUGCUGUGGUUCCUUUAUAGAAUUUUACUUCUGAGGCUUUUGGGAUGGAGUCGGGAUUUUUCCUGAUCUUAGAUAUCAGAUUUGCCAUUCCUGUAGGCCUCCUUUCUAACCCUAAGGAUGUAUGAACCCCUUAAGGGUAGAUUCAUUUCAGGCUGGAUUUGUAAUUGAGCGGUGGCUGUCUGGAAGUGAUUAAAACGGGGAGCUGGGGCCUGAUUUUUUAAAAUGUA